rnacentral:sRNA from 1 species
CUUAGGGGAGUGGUAUGGAAAACAAUUAAGGAUUUUCAUUUGAAUCAAUCGAAAAUGAAUAACAGUAUUGCGGAACGUUUUCAAUGAAGUCAUUCACAAAUUCUCCCCUUACAAACGAGAGAUGAACGGAAUUAUUAUAAUUUAUCCAAAGGUAGAGAUUUUUGAUGACCAAUAAUCCCGAUGUGCCCUUGGCCCCGGCUUAAUUUAUCGAAGUUUAUCUUUAAAAAUGGAAAUCUGCUCUAGUUCAACCUGCCUCUGUUACUGGACACGCUAUAAAGCCUUUUAAGUUGUU